rnacentral:rRNA from 1 species
AUUGAACGCUGGCGGCAGGCCUAACACAUGCAAGUCGAACGAGUGGCGGACGGGUGAGUAAUGUCUGGGAAACUGCAAGAUGGAGGGGGGUAACUACUGGAAACGGUCGCUAAUACCGCAUAACAUCAGAUGUGCCCAGAUGAGAUUAGCUAGUUGGUGUGGUUACGGCUCACCAAGGCGACGAUCCCUAGCUGGUCUGAGAGGAUGACCAGCCCCACUGCAACUGCGACACGGUCCAGACUCCUACGUGAGGCGGCAGUUGUGAAUAUUGCACAAUGGGCGCUAGCCUGAUGCAGCCAUGCCGCGUGGAGUAAGAAGGCCUUCGGUUUUUAAAGUACUUAUAGCGGGUAGGCGUUACCCUUUGAUGAAGCACCGGCUAACGCCGUGCCAGCAGCCGCGGUAAUAC